rnacentral:rRNA from 1 species
AUACGGAGGGUGCAAGCGUUAAUCGGAAUUACUGGGCGUAAAGAGUACGUAGGUGGUUUAUUAAGUCAGAUGUGAAAGCCCCGGGCUCAACCUGGGAACUGCAUUUGAAACUAGUAAACUAGAGUAUGGUAGAGGGGGGUAGAAUUUCUAGUGUAGCGGUGAAAUGCGUAGAUAUUAGAAGGAAUACCAGUGGCGAAGGCGGCCCCCUGGACCAAUACUGACACUGAGGUACGAAAGCGUGGGUAGCGAACAGGAUUAGAAACCCUUGUAGUCC